GAUGAACGCUGGCGGCGUGCUUAAUACAUGCAAGUCGAACGGAGACUGUAGCGAUACUGUCUUAGUGGCGAACGGGUGAGUAACGCGUUGGUGACCUGCCCCGAAGAGGGGGAUAACAGUCCGAAAGGAUUGCUAAUACCCCAUGUGGUCGUUUGGAUUAGAUGCCUUAUGACUAAACGGAUUUAUUCGCUUCGGGAGGGGCCUGCGUCCCAUCAGCUAGUUGGUGAGGUAAUAGCUUACCAAGGCGAUGACGGGUAGGGGACCUGAGAGGGUGGCCCCCCACAAUGGAACUGAAACACGGUCCAUACACCUACGAGUGGCAGCAGUAGGGAAUAUUGGUAAUCUGGGAAACCGGGAACCAGCAACGCCGCGUGCGCGAUGACGGCCUUCGGGUUGUAAAGCGCUUUUUAAAGGGAUGAGGAAGGACAGUACCUUUAGAAUAAGCCUCGGCUAACUACGUGCCAGCAGCCGCAGUAAUAC
rnacentral:rRNA from 1 species